UUCAAAGCCGUUUAUCUACUCCCCUCUGUGGCAAAAGAAAAGCCUAGAUCCCCUAGUCUCUUUUACUUUUUCUUUUCAUUCCUCUAAAACCCUAAAACCAUUUUUUCCUUUAGAUUUAUUCCAUUUCUUUACACGUAGAGAAAACGGUGGAUGAUUCAGUUUGAACUUUCUGUCUCGAUCUUGUUUCUUUGUAUUAAGAGAUUUAGUGGAUCGAUUAAAAUAAAGGGUAUUUUUUUUUCUGCAAACGGAUAUCGUUAAGAUCUAUUAUUUCUGUCUGAACAGAGAAAUCGCAGUUUAUGACUUCAAUUCUUAUCUGUUAACUGCGUUUCUCUGUUUAGACAGAUGCAAUCGAUCGUAUUUUUCUUCUCCGCUUUACACAGUGAUGUAAUCUAAGGUUAGAUCUUCUGAGACUGACAAUAGACCAUGUUGGGAUUGUUUGUCUAUUUACCGUCUAUAAUAUGAUUCAUUGUAUUCUCGUUUUCGGUUAUCUGUUUUUGUACGAUUUGUUGUUUUGGGUUUGAUGUCACUGUAAUCUAAUGUCAGAACUUGCAAGAUAUCAGCACAUGGCGUGUUUGUUAGGUUGGUGUGCUGUGUGUUAACUAGUCACAAGGUUUGACUCCUCACUUCUACAUUUUUUUUCUGCCUUUUGGGUGUCUCCUGCCUUAAAAAAAGAAGAGGUUGUUUAUAGAUUUACUUGUACUUAUUUUGGUGCAUUUCAAUUGCAAUUUUUUAGAAUAAUCUUACAAUAAUUAUUCAAUUAUAAUAAAAAAUUACAUGGCAUUCAUCACUUAUAAGAAUGAAUUUUAUAUAAAAUUAUAAUACAAUUAUGAAUUUGGAUUGACUAAUUAUAAAGCAAGUAGGUGAUAUGAUAUCAUGUUAAUAACAUUCGAUAAUUGAAGUUAUUUCCUUAAUAAAGGUGCGUAAAAAGGAGUCAAUGAAAUUACAUGUAGAGCAAGACUUGGGCAGGGAUUUAAAUAAUGGUGGGGAUGCGGUAUAGAAGUUACGGUUUUAACUUCUUCCGAUAUUGAUAUUCACCAUAAUUAGGGCGUGAGUUUUAUUCACAUAUUUAGGGAUCCGUUACGGUCAUAAAAUAACAUAUUUAGUUGUCCAUUAUGAUCGUAAAAUAACGUGAUUGUGGAAGUGGAAAAUAAUGGACUUAAUGGAAUGUUACAGUCGCUGUUGUCGCUAUUAUUUUUGUUUUUUCAAAUGAAAAUUGCAUUAUAUCAAGGAACAAAACAUUUCUAGAAUAAAGAAAAAUCGUAUAUCUAAAUUAAUUCAACAAAUUAAAGCUUCAAUCAAGUUAAAAUAACGAAUUAAUUCAUAGUGUUGGGCUUUAUUUCAAAGUAACAAGUAUU
rnacentral:lncRNA from 1 species